GGAAGGUUGCCAGAGUUGGUUUAAUGGGCCCGUUUUGAAAACGGGUGUUUUUUAAACGCGGGAGUUCGAGUCUCUCACCUUCCGC
rnacentral:tRNA from 1 species